rnacentral:rRNA from 1 species
AGAGUUUGAUCCUGGCUCAGAAUCAACGCUGGCGGCGUGCCUAACACAUGCAAGUCGCACGAGAAAGGGGCUUCGGUCCUGAGUACAGUGGCGCACGGGUGAGUAACACGUGAAUCAUCUACCUUCGAGUGGGGAAUAACUGAGAGAAAUCUUAGCUAAUACCGCAUAAUACCUACGGGUCAAAGCAGCAAUGCGCUUGAAGAGGAGUUCGCGGCAGAUUAGUUAGUUGGCGAGGUAACGGCUCACCAAGGCGACGACGGGUAGCUGGUCUGAGAGGAUGGCCAGCCACAUUGGGACUGAGAAACGGCCCAGACUCCUACGGGAGGCAGCAGUGGGGAAUAUUGCGCAAUGGCCGAAAGGCUGACGCAGCGACGCCGCGUGUAGGAUGAGGCCCUUCGGGGUGUAAACUACUGUUGCCCGGGACGAACGGCAGACUUUGGUCUGCGUGACGGUACCGGGUGAGGAAGCACCGGCUAACUCCGUGCCAGCAGCCGCGGUAAUACGGAGGGUGCGAGCGUUGUCCGGAAUCACUGGGCGUAAAGGGCGCGUAGGUGGCUUGGUAAGGGGGCGGUGAAAGCCCGGGGCUCAACCCCGGGUCUGCCGGACCGACUGCUGAGCUAGAGCACACUAGAGGCAAGUGGAAUUCCGGGUGUAGCGGUGGAAUGCGUAGAGAUCCGGAAGAACACCGGUGGCGAAGGCGGCUUGCUGGGGUGUGGCUGACACUGAGGCGCGACAGCGUGGGGAGCAAACAGGAUUAGAUACCCUGGUAGUCCACGCCGUAAACGAUGGGCACUAGGUGCUCGGGGGAGCGACCCUCCGGGUGCCGGCGCUAACGCAUUAAGUGCCCCGCCUGGGGAGUACGGCCGCAAGGCUGAAACUCAAAGGAAUUGACGG